AUUGAACGCUGGCGGCAGGCCUAACACAUGCAAGUCGAGCGGAUGAAGGGAGCUUUCUCCUGGAUUCAGCGGCGGACGGGUGAGUAAUGCCUAGGAAUCUGCCUGGUAGUGGGGGAUAACGUCCGGAAACGGGCGCUAAUACCGCAUACGUCCUGAGUGUGAAAGUGGGGGAUCUUCGGACCUCACGCUAUCAGAUGAGCCUAGGUCGGAUUAGCUAGUUGGUGGGGUAAAGGCCUACCAAGGCGACGAUCCGUAACUGGUCUGAGAGGAUGAUCAGUCACACUGGAACUGAGACACGGUCCAGACUCCUACGGGAGGCAGCAGUGGGGAAUAUUGGACAAUGGGCGAAAGCCUGAUCCAGCAAUGCCGCGUGUGUGAAGAAGGUCUUCGGAUUGUAAAGCACUUUAAGUUGGGAGGAAGGGCAGUAAGUUAAUACCUUGCUGUUUUGACGUUACCAACAGAAUAAGCACCGGCUAACUUCGUG
rnacentral:rRNA from 1 species